rnacentral:lncRNA from 1 species
CACAAACAUUCAGAGACAAAGAGAGGGACAAGACUGGCAGACACUCAAUGGUGAGCAAGAACAGGGAAAAGGAAAGACCUCCCAAAGGCCAGAGGAGUGAAAGAAAGUCUGAAGGCACAGGAGCCCGAGCCCGACAAUGAGAAGGAAUGGAAUGCCUGAGAUCAGUGGGAAGCGCUUAGAUGAUAAGAAACACGGAAGUAAAUGGUCUAAUUUAUGGUCUAAAAAAAACCCUCUGGAUAUCUUUGGGAAAGUGAAUAUGAGAAGCUGAGCAGGCAAGCUGCAAACAGAUGAACAGACCUCUAGGUAGUCACUUGUGGUGAUGCGACACCAGAGAAAAGGAACAGGAGGCAGAAGACAGGAACCAUUCACUGGCAAGUUGUGAUAUGGGGUUUCUCCCAGGCUACGACUCUAGUGAGAUUAAAAGAUAGAAAAGAGCAUUCCCAUUCAAAAGCAUUUAAGUGAGCCUCAGACAUCCUUGCAC